rnacentral:rRNA from 1 species
AUUGAACGCUGGCGGCAGGCCUAAAACAUGCAAGUCGAACGAGUGGCGGACGGGUGAGUAAUGUCUGGGAAACUGCCCGAUGGAGGGGGAUAACUACUGGAAACGGUAGAUAAUACAGCAUACCAACGGAUGUGCGCAGAGGGGAUUAGCUAGUAGGUGGGGUAAAGGCUCACCUAGGCGACGAUCCCUAGCUGGUCGGAGAGGAUGCCCAGCCACUCUGGAACUGAGACACGGUCCAGCCUCCUACGGGAGGCAGCAUGGGGGAAUAUUGAACAAUGGGCGCAAGCCUGAUGCAGCCAUGCCGCGUGUAUGAAGAAGGCCUCGGGUUGUAAAGUACUUUCAGCGAGGAGGCGUUACUCGCAGAAGAAGCACCGGCUAACUCCGUGCCAGCAGCCGCGGUAAUUC